UACAGAGGUCCCAAGCGUUGUCCGGAUUCAUUGGGCGUAAAGGGUGUGUAGGUGGCGCCGUAAGUCGGGUGUGAAAUUUCGGAGCUUAACUCCGAAACUGCAUUCGAUACUGCGGUGCUUGAGGACUGGAGAGGAGACUGGAAUUCAUGGUGUAGCAGUGAAAUGCGUAGAGAUCAUGAGGAAGACCAGUGGCGAAGGCGGGUCUCUGGACAGUUCCUGACACUGAGACACGAAGGCCAGGGGAGCAAACGGG
rnacentral:rRNA from 1 species